rnacentral:rRNA from 1 species
AGAGUUUGAUCAUGGCUCAGAUUGAACGCUGGCGGAAUGCUUUACACAUGCAAGUCGAACGGCAGCACGGACUUCGGUCUGGUGGCGAGUGGCGAACGGGUGAGUAACAUAUCGGAACGUGCCCAGUCGUGGGGGAUAACGUAGUGAAAAUUACGCUAAUACCGCAUACGAUCUACGGAUGAAAGCGGGGGAUCGCAAGACCUCGCGCGAUUGGAGCGGCCGAUAUCAGAUUAGGUAGUUGGUGAGGUAAAGGCUCACCAAGCCGACGAUCUGUAGCUGGUCUGAGAGGACGACCAGCCACACUGGAACUGAGACACGGUCCAGACUCCUACGGGAGGCAGCAGUGGGGAAUUUUGGACAAUGGACGCAAGUCUGAUCCAGCCAUUCCGCGUGCAGGACGAAGGCCUUCGGGUUGUAAACUGCUUUUGUACAGAACGAAAAGGUUUCUAUUAAUACUAGGGGCUCAUGACGGUACUGUAAGAAUAAGCACCGGCUAACUACGUGCCAGCAGCCGCGGUAU